rnacentral:rRNA from 1 species
UACGGAGGGUGCGAGCGUUGUUCGGAAUUACUGGGCGUAAAGCGCGUGUAGGCGGCUCUUUAAGUCUGAUGUGAAAGCCCGGGGCUCACCCCCGGAAGUGCAUUGGAAACUGGAGAGCUGGAGUACCGGAGAGGAGGGUGGAAUUCCUGGUGUAGCGGUGAAAUGCGUAGAUAUCAGGAAGAACACCGGUGGCGAAGGCGGCCCUCUGGACGGAUACUGACGCUGAGACGCGAAAGCGUGGGGAGCAAACAGG